rnacentral:rRNA from 1 species
AACGAACGCUGGCGGCAUGCCUAACACAUGCAAGUCGAACGAGACCUUCGGGUCUAGUGGCGCACGGGUGCGUAACGCGUGGGAACCUGCCCUUAGGUUCGGAAUAACUCCCCGAAAGGGGUGCUAAGACCGGAUAAUGUCUUCGGACCAAAGAUUUAUCGCCUUUGGAUGGGCCCGCGUUGGAUUAGCUAGUUGGUAGGGUAAAAGCCUACCAAGGCGACGAUCCAUAGCUGGUCUGAGAGGAUGAUCAGCCACACUGGGACUGAGACACGGCCCAGACUCCUACGGGAGGCAGCAGUGGGGAAUAUUGGACAAUGGGCGAAAGCCUGAUCCAGCAAUGCCGCGUGAGUGAUGAAGGCCUUAGGGUUGUAAAGCUCUUUUACCCGGGAUGAUAAUGACAGUACCGGGAGAAUAAGCUCCGGCUAACUCCGUA